AUUGGUUCAAAAUUCAAAUUCGAUUCCAGGUCAUGGAAGGCAAUAUUGAGAAUGUAGUCAAUAUAUUACGAAGAGGACGUUUCAAAGAAAACUGAUAAAGGUGAGUACAAAUAUUGUAUACAGUCAUAUUUUUCUUGUAAUGGAAAAAAGGUUAUUAGAAACGUAACUUUGUAGACGUAACUAUUUUGUAUAAUCGAGAAUGGUCGUAACAAGCCUUCCCAGAGAUGGUGUCAUGUUAGUCCAAAUAAUUAUGACGUCUGCCCCUGUCUGGCAAGGCUAUCUUUUUCGGGGACGCCUUCCUACGACGAGCGUCCCAGAUUUAUUUUUUAAAAUAGCCUUGCCAGACGUCAUAAUUAUUUGGACUAGUGUCAUGUUGUAGCGGAAGGAACUUUCACUUAAAUAUUUCGACAGAUGUUUUCAGUUUAAAGUUCUGUUUUUUCAACUAGUGAUUCUUGUGCAUCAUUUAUAUUUUCUGAAAAAACUAACAGAUGGGGUUAUCUCACUAAGCCGAUUAAUGUAUUCGUGUACAAAUCCAAUUUUAUAAGAUUUUUUUAUAAGAAGUGUUAUUUAUAGAUAUAGGAAGAUGUGGUGUGAGUGCCAAUGAGACAACUCUCCAUCCAAAUUAUAACAGUUUAAAAAAGUAAACCAUUAUAGGUCAAUGCACGGCCUUCAACACGGAGCCUUGGCUCACACAGAACAACAAGUUAUAAAGGACCCAAAACCAUGCAAACGGGAAAACCAACGGUCUAAUCUAUAUAAAAAAAAAUAUAAUUAUAAUUUCUACAUAUGCCUCUUGUUUUUUUUAAAAUUAUAAAUAGAAAACUUGUCUGGUGUAUGGCAAAAAGAAAGCGAACAAAGACUAGAAGACAAACUUUAAAACGCAUUGUGUCUGCAAUUUACCAAAUGAAAGUGCAAUAUAUUGAACAAAUUACUAUAUGUGACAAACACGUUUUUCGAUUGUUGACAGGGGCUGCUAUAUAAUUUUGCUGCUGCUAUGUCUAAGCAAUCUACACACGAGAUUAUUAUAUGUAUCUUUUUUUUAAUUAUGUUAGACAAAAUAGAAUGUCGUAUUUAAUGUACACACUAUUUAGUUGUAAUACUAGCGUCAAUGAUAAACGCAACUUUUAUAUGACAAAUCAAAUUCGUAUAACAAAAGACUAUUUUGAAGAAAUUGAGUAAUUGUUAGGAAAUUUCUUUUUGUUUUAUGAACAGCAAAUGCUAUUAAUCUUGCGAGUGGAAUAAACCAUUUUGGGAAAUAAAUAUAUGCCUACAUGAUGUAGUAUCGUAAAUUUCUUUGUUCUCUUCUCUGAGAUUCCCACCUAUAUACAAGGGUCACUGCAUUCAUGAAAUAUACUUAUUUUUCUAUUUUAUUUCAAAUUUGAAUUUAUUUAUAUUUAAAAAAGUGAGGGAAAAAAGAAAAAUGAACUUGUAUUUAGUACACUGUAUAUACAUGUGUUUGAACUGACAAGAGAUUCAAACAUUAGAACAUUUCUAAAAUAAAUAAACGUGUUGAUAAAAAGGAGGUUGAGGAUACUAAGGGAUGAAUUAAUUAGCCAUUCUUUGGUUUAUGAGUGGAUUAAAGUAAUGUGGUUUAUCAUUGUUAAGAUCGAUGGACAGUAUUUACCGCACCGCUUGUGGUUUCUCAAUUUUUAUAUCAAUUUGAAAUCUAAAAACUAGUAUUUAUAAAAAAGAAGAUGUGGUAUGAUUGCCAAUGAGACAACUAUCCACAAAAGACCAAAAUGACACAAACAUUAACAACUAUAGGCCACCGUACGGCCUUCAACAAUGAUCAAAGCCCAUACUGCAUAGUCAGCUAUAAAAGGCCCCGAUAAGACAAUGUAAAACAAUUCAAACGAGAAAACUAACGGCCUUAUUAUGUAAAAAAAAAUGAACGAAAAACAAAUAUGUAACACAUAAACAAACGACAACCACUGAAUUACAGGCCCCUGACUUGGGACAGGCACAUAUAUAAAUAAUGUGGCGGGGUUAAACAUGUUAGCGGGAUCCCAACCCUCCCCCUAACCUGGGACAGUGGUAUAACAGUACAACAUAAGAACGAACUAUAAAAAUCAGUUGAAAAAGGCUUAACUCAUCAGAUAGACAAAAAAAACAAGUGGACGUGGCCGGGUAUGUUAUCAAGAAUAUGAGGGCUCAAGAAUUAUGUAUUGAAUAUAUGUAGCACAGCACAUAGCAUUAGUUAAUGAUAAACUAUAAUAGCAUUAAGUUGUUAUUAUAAUUUUUUUUUAUAGUAUUGAAACAAAUACUUGAAAUAUACACUAUUUGAUUAUUGAUAAGGACAAUCUCUUGAGAAUUUUUGCUUGUCUGAUUUGACAAUCCUUAUCAUUUUGUUUGCAUUCAAAUUAUGAUAAUUUUAGCCAAGAAAUCCUCCGGCAUACUGGAAAAUAAUCAUAUGGACUUGAGCUCUUAAAAUUGACUGCUGCUGACACUGAAUUUCUAUGAAGAAUUUUUUAUCGAUUUCAUACAUUUGUCAUAUGACUGCAAAAAAAAAUACGUUCGUAUAUUGCUAUCACGUCGUCGUUCGAAGAACAUUUGGGUUUCGGACAAUAACUUUAGUUUAAGUGUUCGGAUCUGUAUAAAAUCAAAACCACAGAAGGGCGGUUGGGUUUGUAUAUGGGAGGUGAUGGUUACAUACCUAUAGGAAAAAAAGGGCCAAAAAGGGGGCCAAAAAGCAUUUUUCGAGUUUCAGGACAAUAACUUGUGUUUAAGUAUUUUCAUUGCUCGAAAAUUGUACUACAAGGUUCAAUACCAUACGUAGAAGGAUAGGAUUCAUUUUGGGGUUAAUUGUCCAAACCGUUCAGGAAUCAGGUGACAAAACAAGCAUUUUCUAGUUUCAGACAAUAAUUUGUGUUUAAGUGUAUGGAUGUCUCUUACAAUGUAAAUUGAACCACAAUUUAGAAAAAGAAAAUUUCUUCAAACACAUUUUUUAGGGAAAGGGUACAAAAAUAUUUUUAUUUUAGGGGUCGGCGGUCAAAUUUUUCCCUCCGUAAAUAUGAGAAAUUAUUUGUACAAAGGCAACUACAUUUUAUCUAAAUUUCAUUUUCAGCUUUUUUUUGUUACUUCUUGGUAUUUCUUUACAUAUCUUGCACUUAUAAUGAGUUUUGAUGAUAAUUAGUUUUAUAAACAAAUGCACGUGUCUUACUGAUACAAGAUAAGAAUAUGUGGGCAGUACAUUGUGGUUACAUUUGUAAUCAACAUGAUCAAUAUAAUCAUUUCAUAGCUUUAUAACUACUGACACUUUUGAGAUCAUUAAUAGUAGGUUUAUCCUGGUGGGCGGAGUUUUGGCCAUAUCAGUAGCAACUGACUUAAGUUAUAGCAAGGUCAAUAAUGAUAUAACAUCUCCCGCCAGAUCUGAUUUUCGAUGCAUAGGGUGUGCAUUUCCAUUAUAUAUUUAGAAUAGCUGAAAUGGAAUGCUUUCUUACUUGUCAAAACCUAAUUGAUAUAUGAUAAUUAAAAGGCCAAUCCUGAAGUAUCUCCAUAUUUUACAUGUGUGAAUUAUAUUGAAUUUAAUGGGGUGCAAGUAGGAAAAUCCUUAUUUAAUCAAUUGUCACACAUUCAUUGUUAUCAUGAAAAUGAAGUUUUAAAUGAAAUUAGCUCCUAGAUGAGUGCCCCUAUAUUCCUGAUUUUCACACAUGUUGUUCCUUGACCAGUUAUCUUCAAAAUUUUGUCUUAGAUUUCCAAAAACAUCAAUGGAACAAAUUGUAUACUGGUAUCUAAUUAAAUUAAGGUAGCACUACAGUCAGAAUUUUUCUGACUCCAACCAACAGUCUUUAAAGAUUAACUUCUCAAAAACUACUCAAGGGAUUUUUAAAAUCUUUAGCUCAUUAUAGAGGUGAAAUAUUAAUUCUUCUUAAUCGGUAAAUAAAUUAAUUUUUGUAUGAUUAAUCUCAAACUAUAGCUCCUUAAUUGCCAAAAAAGUGGUCUUCCAACUCGGAUGAAAAUGACACAUUCAGGUCAAAUGGUAGUGAAAAUUUGUUUUCAUCGCUUUAAUCAACCAUACACUAUAAACAAAACCAUGUCUCAGAUUUUUGAUAUAUGCCUCCAGUAAGAAGAUAUAUUGAUUUUUUAACUGCUGGGUACCACACCUCAUUUCACCUUUCAUCUUUGGACACUAUAAAUUCAUUUAGAAACAAAUUAUCCAAAAACUGGGACACGGUAUUGUAGAAAAUACUCCCUUUAAUCACAUAUAUCAAAGUCAAACCAAAAGGGGUACCAAUGAAGUUUCUAUUUUCAUUUUUUGCUAACAAUUCUCAUGAAAAUUGUUCAGAGAAAUUACCUAAAAACUGAAUUUCCCCCUUAGAACCCCUAUAAAUGCAUCAUUAAAACAAAAGUUCCACUGAGAACACCCCAGGAGUGUCCUGACACCAUUAUUUUUAUCAAUAUAACAUCACACUUUGUGUCUUUGAUGCUCUAAUACUGUAAAUUUGAAUUAUAUGUGCACUGACCAACACUAACUUAGCAUUUGGCGGGAGUUUGACGUCACAGAUUUGACCAACAUCUGUGAUGUAGCAAUUUUAAAAUAUAGACAAAGCUCCGCCUCUCUCCAGACAGUCUAAGAUAAGAGAAUAACAGGAAUGACCAGCUGCAUAAAAACAAUUUUAACAUCAUUAUAUUCACUAUAAAGAAUGAUUUCAUUUGCAUUUUAAAAAGAAAUAUACUAUGAUAUUAGCUAGAACAUUAAAAUUAUGCAAUAAAAGACAUGUCCCAAAAAAGAUCAAGACCUGAUCCCCCUUGCUGGAAAUAGACUGCCUCACAUGAUUCUUCAGUUUUAUGGAAUUUAAAAAUUUCACAUAAACUUAAAAUUGUUUAAAGUGCCUGAAACUCCUAACAAAAGACAGAUUCAGAGACAUAUACUUCUUGUUUGUAGUAAGAACCUUAAAUGUUUAAAGUUUGUCAGAGGCUUUCAAAGAUACUUUCACACUCUUAUCCUUAUAUAUAUAGUUUUGUUCAUUUUGGUAAGAUUUUUUUCCCUUUAGAUUUUCUCCUUUUUAAUAACUUUCCCUUUUCACUGUUUACUUCAAAGCUAUAUAGAUUACUUUGUUGCAAUACACAUGAUACAAUGAGAUAAGACCACACUAUUCUUCUUGUGGUCAGUGAUUAACAGCUGGACACUGGCAUUAACAGAUGAUUGACAUAUUAAACUCUCCUAAAUGCCUAUAUAUUUAGAUUAAUUACCAUGUGCCUUUAUUUACAUAAUUUCAUUAUCAAUUUACCCCUGUUGUGAUUUGAAAAUUGAUUUUUGGAUUUUUACAAACUGUGCAGAAUAAUACUUACUUUAAAAUUAUGUGAUAAAAAAAAUAUCUUAAAAAAAUCACUGUUAGACUGUAGUGCUACCUUAAGAGAUCUCUUAUGAAUUGAGGUUGCAAACUUCGUUGAAGGUUAAUGAGAGAAUGAAAUACAAUAGAAAAAAUCUGAGACACUCUUUUGGAGGUCAAACUGUGUUGUACAAGAAUCUAUAAAAUAUUUUGGUUUGGUAUGAAUAACAAAGAAGCUAAUUUCAUUCUAGUGUGAACAUCCCAAUACUUGCAUGGCGCUUGCAUUUAUUAUGUUUUUACGCAAAAUGUGUAUCUUGAAACAUGAAUUAAUAUGAAAAUGAAGAGAUGUGUAUUGUAGUUUGUUUGGAUCCUAUAUUAGUUAUUUGUCUCUGUGACUCGUAUAAUUAAAGAACUGAAGUACUGAACAUCGGAUGACCGCAAGUUCUCGUGGAUGGUCAAAAGCACUUGCCACAGAAAGAAAUCACAUCUCUAUACCUGAUACUGAGGUUAAUGUACAGAGAUAAUUUUUUUUCUGAGACAAGUUCGAGCGUGGAUGAUGAAGAAAUGACAAGAAAUUCAAAAUCAUGUAAUAACUAUUAUAUUGUAGUGAUACAAAUCAGUAUACACUGGUUUGUUGUUAUAUCUUAUAUUAAUAUAUCAGUUACAUGUAUAUAUAAUUUUCAUCCAUUUGUAUAUUAUUAUAUUUUACUAUUCUAAAAAUAGUGCAGUGCAAUUGUAUGGUGGACACUCUUCUGUAGACAUUCGAUUUUUUUUCUAAAGGAUUGGAUAUAUGAAUAGGCAUUCUUAUCUUCCCGCAAACACAAUCUUCUAUGCAGAGUUACCGGUCAUUGCCGGGAUUGCCGCAACAUGUUCUUGAGAUAUCUUCCGCAUGCUUUGUGCAUAGAUAUUUAAAGGAUUUUUUACUUUACAUUACAAGGAAUUUUAUUUUGCACUCGUUUAUGUGCGCGUAUUUAUCAUGUUUAAAGAUCGGUUACAAACCCGAAACGAAAGUUACGUAAUGGAAAUCUAGGCAAUAGCAAUACAUCAGAAUGCCCUCACGGUCAUCGCGAUGUAAAAAUAUGUUCCAUACAUUACAUGUACUUUUUUAAAAUUGAUUUAAAUAUUGUAUUUCAGGUUACCAAGAUGAUUUGGAUGAGGAGACUGACCAGAUGACCAAUCUACACGAACUCAAAAGAUAGGUAAUCCUUAUUAAUCAUUUUCAAAUGAAAAACAAACAGAAAACAUUAUAACAUUAGUAACUAUAAUUGGUGCAACUAUAUUUGUUGAAUAUUUGUAUAUCUAUAUUUUGAGGCCUUUUCAAAGGUCCAAAUAAUUUUCUUGUUUUUUUUUUUAACCUGGCAGCUCUUAAAUAUUAAUUUCUUUAAAUAGUGUAACUCUUAUGUUCAUAUCUUCUGUUUUCUAAAAAAAUAACAAUCAGAUACUAUAUGUGUUUACAAAACUGAUCAUCUUCAAAACUCAUUAACAGAGCAAUUUAUGGAAGUAUAUGUGUCGUCUGUGGUUGAAAAUAUUACUAGGUAACAAAAGCAACUGGAAAAGAAAUUUGAAAAAUCGUAUUGUUAUACCUGAAUAUCGCUUUCCUUCGUACAUCAGACCACAACAACGAAGACCCGACCCCUACAGAAAUACAUAUACACAGACAAAAAGCAGAACAUAACACAUACUAUUAGUCUAGAUAGACGGUUUUGCUACCGGCAUGACAUUUUGUAAACUAGUGUUGCGUGUGCACAAACGUUUACAAUGUACUCAUCUAUAAUACAGUCCAACUUUAAAAUAACUUGCCUAGUAUCUUUGCAGAGACAAUUAAUGUGUUUUAAUCAAAGAAUAUAUUUCCAUACAGACAAAGGUGCUUGUGGUUCAUUGAAUGACCGUCAUGAUCUCAUUGCUUGUGGAGGGUGUUUGCCAAUAUCUCAGGAUAUGUGUCUGUCAAGAUCGCGAUGCUUGUGGUGUAUGAAAAUAUCUCAAGUAAGUUACCGUCAAGUUCUCGAUGCUUGUGGCGUAUGAACAUCUUUAAGUUGAGUGGCUGUCAAGGUAUCGGUGCUUGUGGUGUUAGAACACGUCUCAAUAUAACUGACUGUUACGUUCUUGGUGCUUCCGUUAUUUUACUGUUUCUCCAGACAAGUGACUGUUAAGUUCUCGGUGCUUCUGUUGUUUUACUGUUUCUCCAGACAAGUGACUGUUUAGAUCGUGCUGCUUCUGUUGUUUUACUGUUUCUCCAAACGAGUGACUGUUAAGAUCUUUGUUCUGUCGUGCUUCUGUUGUUUUACUGUUUCUCCAGUCGACUGACUGUCAAGAUCUUAUUGCUUCUGUUGUUUUACUGUUUCUCCAGACGAGUGACUUUCAAGAUCUUGGUGUUUCUGUUGUUUAACUGUUUCUUAAGAUGAGUGACUGUCAAUAUCUUGGUGCUUCUGUUGUUUUACUGUUUCUCCAGACGAGUGACUGUCAAGAUCUUGGUGCUUCUGUUGUUUUACUGUUUCUCCAGACGAGUGACUGUCAAGAUCUUGGUGCUUCUGUUGUUUUACUGUUUCUCAGAUGAGUGACUGUCAAGAUCUUGGUGCUUCCGUUGUAUUACUGGUUCUCAAGAUGAGUGACUGUCAAGAUCUUGGUGCUUCUGUUUUUUUUUUGUUUCUCAAGAUGAGUGACUGUAGAGAUCGCAGCGUUUGUGCUGCUUUAUUGUUUAUCAAAAUUAGUGACUGUGAGUCUCAUUGCUUGUUCUGUUGUACUUCAUAUCCUGAUGAGUGACUAUUAAAAGAUCUCUGGUUUUGUGUUGCUUUACUGUUUCUCAAGAUCAGUGACUGCGAGAUCUCGGUGCUUGUAAUUCUUUUCUGUAUCCGAAGAUGAAUGACUGUCAAUAUUUCGGUGUUGUUUUACUUUACUGUAUCUCUUGAUGAGUUACUGUGAGAUCUCUGUGCAUAGAUGCAUUAUUGUAUCUGAAGCUGAGUGACGAACAGGAUCUCAGUGCUAGUGUUGCUUAACUGUAUAUUUAGAUGAGUGACUGUCAAGAUAUUAGUGCCUGUGUUGCUUUGUCGUUUCUCGUAAUCAACGACUUAGAAAUUUUGGUUCUUGUGAUUCAUUAUUGUAUAUCAAGAUGAGUGAUUGUCAAUAUUUGUCGUUGCUUGUGGUGCAUUACUGUAUCUCAAAAUGAGUGAUUGUGAGAUAUCGAUGAUUGUGUUGCUUUAUUGUUUUCAUGAUUGACUGAAAUAUCUCAGUCAUUAUUGUAUCUCGAGAUGAGUGACUGUCAAGAGUAUCAGUAAUUAUAUCGGUGCUUGUGUUGCUUUGAUGUAUCUUAAAAUACAUGUACCGGUGUAUGUGACGCAUUACAUAAUCUCAAGACGGUUGACUUUAAGAAAAUUUUGAAAUUUUGUUUUUUACCGACCCAAGUUUAUAUUCCUGCUUAAAACCGGUAACCUCGUCAGUGUUUCCUGUAAUUUCUAUUGAUUUUUAUUGUGUGUAGAUUUUGGUGUUAAGUGCAAAUAUUUGGAAGUUUAAAUGAUCUGAACUCAUUUGUUCAGAAAUCGAUUCGAACGAUAUUAACUAUACAUUAUUUUGUUGAACAGAUGUUUUGACAUUCAGGAUGUGGUUAGAUUGCUGGUUCAUUGACAUGUAUCACUCCUCCUUUUAUUCAUACUUAAUGUAUCGAAGAAACUUUAAAAUAGGGUGUUGAAGUUUUAUUUUCUUUCUUUUUCAGGCAACAUUUCCUGGUUUAGAGAAAAACUGAAACACCAAUAUUGUGUGUACAUGUUGCGAUAAACAAUUAUAACAACACAACUCAUUUGUUCUCUUGUUAGUUUGGAAAUACAAGUUGACGUCGGAAAGGAAACUGAAUGCUCUACAACAUUGAAAAAAGUGUUAUAUAUAGUGCUUCUACGUGUAUGUGUGGGACUCUAAAUAACUCCAAACAAGUAUCAGCAGCUAUUACAUCAUGUAUUAGGAGGAUAUGAUCCAGAAUAUAUACAUAUAUAUGAGGAUAAGAUUUACAAAUCCUUAAAGUGUGAAUAUUGUACAAAUGUACAAAAUUGUCACUUACAAUGUGCAGAAUGUCUUACUUACUAUAAUAUUCAAAGACGUGUACCAAAGUUUCCAGCUAUAAUUUUUCCAGACGUUUAAGGUCAAAUUCAAUUCUAUUUGUAUCUUUCAGUAAUCAUUCAUAAUCUUAAUUGGACACAUGACAAACAUAUUGCUGUUGUAUGUGUGUACUUUUAAUCAGACAGUAGCCUGAAAUUAAAAUUUAUUUAAUGUGCUUAAGGGAGUUUAUUAAUGUUUAUCAAAAUUUUAUGUUUUUGUAAUGAAAGGAAAGGAUUUAGUGUUUACCAAUCAUUUGUCAAUUUUUUAUUCUACAAAGACUUUAUCACAAAGCAACAACUCUCACCUCACUGCAAGGCCACCACAAUUAAUUGAAUUCAUUUAUUAUUAUAAUAUUGCUUUUAAAGUAGAUGUAUUUUCUUUCAUACGAUAUAUACAUGUCUAUGUUUCGUUUUACCUUGUUAACAAUAAUGCCCUUACCAUAAUUCUAAUAACACUACAUUGUGUUUUUGGUCAGAAUUCUGAUAUACAUUACAUGUCAAUAUUAUUCAUGUCCUUCUGAAUUCUGAUAAGAAGCUAAUAUAGUAGCAAUGAAACCUUAAAAGAAUUCUGAUAAGACUAACAUCUGAUAACAAUAACCUUCUUAACAGAAUUUUGAUAAGACAGUCGC
rnacentral:lncRNA from 1 species